GUGCACCAAGACUUCCUGGCUAUCAUUGACAAGGUCAAACCGACUCCGAUAACGGAGCGGUGGCAACGACGCAUCGACUGCUCAUUCUGGUGGCAAUAGUUAUCUUUGAAUGGUUUCUAAAUGUCGACGUAUUUUUUAUUAUGUUUGAGAUGAUUUAUACUUUCAAUGAACUUUUAUAAUUGAUGCAUAUCAGAAGGCCCACAAAAUUUAUCAGAAGGCCCACAAAAAAAUGAACCAGAUGCAUAUCAAAAGGCCCACAAAAUUUAUCAACAAUGUCACAUUACACAAACAAUUGUCGAACCACGAAUUCAGCGAAAAGAGUGCCACUCAAGAUAGCACGCCACACAGAACAAACAAGAACAGAGAAACAAAUUAUCAGCUGAUUGCCACAAAAUUUCAGCAUCCCAUGUUCAAUAUUUACAAGAGGCAGAACUCACCCCAACUAAUUGCACCGCGUUAACAGUAGCCUCAAGUUAUCUUGACUUCCCAUGACUACCCACCUACUAUUUACAAAAGUUGACAUGACUACCUAUCUGCCUACUAUUUACAAAAGUUGCCAUGACUACCUAUCUGCCUACUAUUUACAAAAGUUGCCAUGACUACCUAUCUAGCUACUAUUCACAGUUUUUCCAUGUCAAAGAAACAUUGGUCAUAUCUAAGAAUGUGCAUGGCUAAGGAAUGAAUGACAGCAGAUGUUGAGAUGAUGAAUGGGAAGAAGAGUCAGGUACUGAUCCUAUUUCUAGAUUAUAGGUAAUUCUAGGGCCAUUGCUAAGAUACAGAUAUAUAUA
rnacentral:lncRNA from 1 species